AACCAAUGCAUCUGGUGUCGGUUCGAAUGUAAUUUCAAGCCCAAAAAAUGUAUGGUUUUCUGGUCUCCAACCGAUCUUGAGGAAAUGCAACGACAGGUUGAUCACAUCCUGAGUUUUCCGACUGAUUUAUUCAAUCCUAUCGGUUCUGAUUUUUUUCCCUCCAUAGUUUCUCCAGCACCAUCUGCCUUGCUCUCAUCACAACUUCUUUCAGUUCCUCAGGUGGAAUGGUAAAUGUGAGUUUCUCUUACCGUUCUUCAGAGGGAAGAGCUUGAGAGACAGUAGACUCUUCUGCUAUUCCUCCCCAAUCACUUUUACCAAUCUGCACAACCCAAAUUGAGAGACGGUGCUCUUCCCUGAGGCAUGAACGCGGGUAGAGAGUAUGAGGAUAAAGGAAAGAGAAGAUGCUGUGAUCAUCCAGCUUUAUCGAUUUGUUAAGG